GUGAUUGACUUUCCAUAACACAAUGCUUCCCUAAUAGUCUUACAUAUGGGGAUAUUAGUUAAGGUAGAAACAAAGAUAUAAUAGGAUGGGGAUAAACGAUGAUAAUUCAAAAAAUUAUAAAGGGGAUGUGGGUUGCGAGAUGAAUGAAUACCUUUUCCAAUAGCAAUAGGAGGAGUUGCUGCUUCUGUUGAAGGCAUGACUGGAGCAGGUGACGGAGGGACAGAAGAGUCAUCAACACCUGUAUCAUGAAUGGUAGUGUCAUUGAUGUUAGUAGGAGUGUGUAGACGACAGGAGUAAACUCGAAGAGGUGGAGCAUGAUUUACUGGUGGAGGUGGAAGAGUAGGAACAAGAAGAGAUUCAGAGAUGAAAUUUUUAUUUAUGGUGCUUGGUGAGAAAUAUAGGGAAGUUUCAAAGAAGGUUACAUCGACUAAAAUAAAAUAUUUUUUUAUUGUUGGAUCAUAGCACUUGUAACCUUU
rnacentral:misc_RNA from 1 species